rnacentral:rRNA from 1 species
UACGUAGGGUGCGAGCGUUAAUCGGAAUUACUGGGCGUAAAGGGCUCGUAGGCGGCCAACUAAGUCAUACGUGAAAUCCCUCGGCUUAACCGGGGAACUGCGUCUGAUACUGGAUGGCUUGAGUUCGGGAGAGGGAUGCGGAAUUCCAGGUGUAGCGGUGAAAUGCGUAGAUAUCUGGAGGAACACCGGUGGCGAAGGCGGCAUCCUGGACCGAUACUGACGCUGAGGAGCGAAAGCCAGGGGAGCAAACGGG